rnacentral:rRNA from 1 species
AUGGCGACCGGCGCACGGGUGAGUAACACGUAUCCAACCUGCCGAUAACUCGGGGAUAGCCUUUCGAAAGAAAGAUUAAUACCCGAUGGCAUAAUUAGACCGCAUGGUCUUAUUAUUAAAGAAUUUCGGUUAUCGAUGGGGAUGCGUUCCAUUAGGCAGUUGGUGAGGUAACGGCUCACCAAAUCUUCGAUGGAUAGGGGUUCUGAGAGGAAGGUCCCCCACAUUGGAACUGAGACACGGUCCAA